CUGACCUCGUGAUCUGCCCGCCUCGGCCUCCCAAAGUGCUGGGGUUACAGGCGUGAGCCACCGCGCCCGGCCAAGAAUGACUUUGUAAAUCAGUGUUGACAUUCAGGACCUUUUUCAUUUCGUGUUAAAGACUGAUCACCCUGGGAAAAUCAAGGCAGUCCAGCCAAACCCCAACUCCCAAUCAAAUGCAGUUUGUAUCGAACCCCACGACUGCCCAGCACCUUUGGGAAGCCCAUUGCUUUCUAUGCAGACGCAGAGCUCCCAGAAAGCACAGUUGAAGAGAUGAAGGCGCAGAGGCAUGAACUCCCGUAGCCAGAGAGUGUGAGCUGGACUCUACCUGGAGCAGCCUCGGUGCAGAGCCCAUGCCCCCAACCAUGUCCGUGGUCGAGGCCCAGCCCAGACAGGGCACAAAGGGGCUGAGGAAGAGGAAGUAAGAUGCCAGGGUUGCCAUGCAGGAGGGCAACCCCAAGUGAGAUGGGCAUCGUGGCCUAGGGCCCACCUUCCGGAAGAGCUCAUCAGAACUUCGGACACACUGCAUGGGCCUAGACCCAGGGCUCGUUGAGCUCCUCCCUCGGAUUGGCUUCGAAUUUUAGGUGAAUCCUCUCUAGCAGCCACAUUCACCCUUGCAAGCCUGCACUUUGUCAUCUUCUGAAAAGGUGCAGGAACAUGAUGCCCAGCUGACUCCCAGGGAGCGGGAGCCCCAGAGGCCAGCGGAGCACAGCCGCAGCAGGCAGAUCUGUUGGGAAACCACGGGAGUAUAGGAGCAGGGCUGGGGGCACCUGAGGGACUGUGGAGCCUGAAUUAUUGAAACGCUUAGAGUAAAGCAGAUUUAGAUUUCACAAAGACAGAGGUGAAGGUGGGUGAAGACGGAGGGAAGGAUUUAAAGGGAAAGAGAAAGAGGAAAGAUAAGAAUGAGGGAGAAAGAGGAAGAGAGAAAGAAAAAGAGAAAUAGAGUUAUCGAAGAUGACUGCAAGUCUGGCCUCUCUCAACCCAAGGAGCCAAGGAGGGGAAGGCCGGCCUGAGCAGCAACGUAGACAAGAGCUCAGGAGGGCAGGGACAGAGCCCUGGCUUCAGCAAGAGCGUGGGGAACAGAGGGCAAGGGGGUCCAUGCAGCCCAGGAUGGCAGGGUGCUCAUACACACAGCCUUGGUCCUGUCCCCUCUCCCAUUGCCGCUUUUGAGCUCACCUUGUUUAAGGCCAAAGCACACACCAUCCUCCCACAGAGCCACUAAUGCAAUUAACAAAACACAUUCAUAAAUCUUGCAUGGCGUCCGGAGCUGUCUCCUCUCCCUAAGCACAAAGGCCAGCUCCAGAGAUGCUGUGCAGAGAGCUGUCUGACCUCUCCAGCGUCAGGGCCCCCUGAAAAGUGCAGCAUAACCCUUAGUAGGACAGAAAGACCAUUGUCUUCUGCCAACCAUUACAAAGUGGAGUGGGGCUGGGGUUAGGAAACACAGACAAAUCAGAAGAGGCUGAGAAGGCGGAGAUGAAAGUGCAUAGGUGUUUGCAGGGAGCUGGGGAAUAGUUCGUGCCUUCCAAGCUCAACAAGAGAGCAUUCAGCAGAGACCAGAGAAUCACCACUUUUGGAGGGUGAUUUUACCUUGUGAGAACAGAGCACAGGGUGUGUGGGACCCAGGGCAUCUUCGGCAAUGCGGGCGUGACUUGGCGGGAUGUCGGUGUUUGUGUUUGCAUGUGUGUGUGCGUGCGUGCAUGCUCAGUCUGGAAAACUGGUGACUCACUAAAACACCGAGCUUUCUGAUCUGAA
rnacentral:lncRNA from 10 species